CUUAAAUUGAAGAGUUUGAUCAUGGCUCAGAUUGAACGCUGGCGGCAGGCCUAACACAUGCAAGUCGAGCGGAAACGAGUUAUCAGAACCUUCGGGGGACGAUAGCGGCGUCGAGCGGCGGACGGGUG
rnacentral:rRNA from 1 species